GCAUUUUUGGCCGAGUGGUUAAGGCGUAACGUUAAGGCCGUUAUGGGACUUAUCCCGCGUGGGUUCGAGCCCCACAGAAUGCA
rfam:Spironucleus salmonicida unplaced genomic scaffold scf7180000020668, whole genome shotgun sequence.